CCUUACAGAAAAGAAAGGAAACUCAACUGCACUCCAGACAAGUGCAGUAGAAGAGUCGAAACAGAACUAAAAGAAGAAACUGCCAGUACAAGCUGCAGUUCAUAUCUCCUCAACAUGGGGGCAAGGGAGGCCAACGUUUCGGAGCACCAUUGCAAGGGAAGGUGGUGGCUGAUCAGCCCAUCUAUGAAGACCCACCGACCGAUAGGCAAGCGAAGCUGCUAUGUGAGCUGCGUUGUUCGCUUCACGGGGAACCCAGUCCCAACUGAUAUCAUCAAAGAAGAUUCAUCUCAAUUGCCAUAUUGACACCAGAAGAGCAGCCUGUGCCUCUGCAAUCUCCACAGAUCCAUAAGUACCCGAUCUUGAAGCUGCAGUAAUAAGAGAGGCCGUAUGGCUCCGAAUAACUACACCCAAUCCACCAACAAAUUUCUCAUCGGGUUGGUGAGAGUUGAUUUGGGUUCUUUACUAUUAUUUUACCAUCGGGUAAAGCUUGUGGGCGCCGUCCUCUUCGUCUUCUUGGUCGUGAUCGCUGCGGCGGUGCCGUUAAUCGACGCGCAGACGUGUCUGCCUGAGAGCCUCUUCCCAAGCGUCUUGAUUGAGCUCAAGAACUGGUACGCGCGUGAGUACGACGACUAUCUCAUGACCCAGAAGCCUCAUUUCAUCAUUGGGAUCGUCUGUGGCUUGAGCUACUGUUUCAGUGGCCUCUUGCUCUUGUCAACCUGUACGGAAUUUUGGCCUCCAAUCUUGGUUUAACACCACCUGGUUGAUCUAUGGCGUCUCUGUUUUCACCUCCAUGAACUGAUUCAGUCUGGCAAGGCUUCUGAUAAGCUGCUGUUUACGUACUUCCCUUUCCUGGGGUUCGGUGUUUUGGCCAUGCUGCGUGGGCUGCUGCCCAUCUAAAUGAAUUGAAGAGAGCAGAUCGAUUAAUGUUUCUCAACUUCUAAAAUCCACUCAGUGCACUCUUGUAGAAAUUGAAAUUUCUGAAUUGCAAUUUUCAAGAUUAACCGCAUC